AUUGAACGCUGGCGGCAGGCCUAACACAUGCAAGUCGAACGAGUGGCGGACGGGUGAGUAAUGUCUGGGAAACUGCCCGGUGGAGGGGGAUAACUACUCGAAACGGUAGCUAAUACCGCAUACAAUCGGAUAGGCCCAGAUGGGAUUGGCUAGUAGGUGGGGUAACGGCUCACCAAGGCGACGAUCCCUAGCUGGUCUGAGAGGAUGACAAGCCACACUGGGACUGAGACACGGCCCAGACUCCUACGGGAGGCAGCAGUGGGGAAUAUUGCACAAUGGGGGCAACCCUGAUGCAGCCAUCCCGCGUGUAUGAUGAAGGCCUUCGGGUUGUAAAGUACUUUCGGCAGGGAGGCGUUACCCGCAGAAGAAGCACCGGCUAACUACGUGCCAGCAGCCGCGGUAAUUC
rnacentral:rRNA from 1 species